GCCUAGCCCUAAAUCUUGAUGCUCGAUAUUACCUGAGCAUCCGCCCGAGAACUACGAGCACAAACGCUUAAAACUCUAAGGACUUGGCGGUGCUCCAAACCCACCUAGAGGAGCCUGUUCUGUAAUCGAUGAUCCACGAUAUUACCUGACCAUUCCUUGCACGAAGCAGCCUAUAUACCGCCGUCGCCAGCCCACCUUUCCUGACAGCCCAACAGUGGACGCAAUAGCCUAACCCGCUAGCAAGACAGGUCAAGGUAUAGCCCACGGAAUGGAAGCAAUGGGCUACAUUUUCUAGACUAGAACAUACGGAUAAGGGUAUGAAACUGCCCUUGGAAGGCGGAUUUAGCAGUAAAGAGAGACAAUUGAGCUCUCUUUAAGCCGGCUCUGGAGCACGU
rnacentral:rRNA from 1 species